GGAAUAUUGCACAAUGGGGGAAACCCUGAUGCAGCGACGCCGCGUGAGUGAAGAAGUAUUUCGGUAUGUAAAGCUCUAUCAGCAGGGAAGAAGACGACGGUACCUGACUAAGAAGCCCCGGCUAACUACGUGCCAGCAGCCGCGGUAAUACGUAGGGGGCAAGCGUUAUCCGGAUUUACUGGGUGUAAAGGGAGCGCAGACGGCAUGGCAAGUCUGAAGUGAAAACCCGGGGCUCAACCCCGUGAUUGCUUUGGAAACUGUCAGGCUAGAGUACCGGAGGGGUAAGCGGAAUUCCUAGUGUAGCGGUGAAAUGCGUAGAUAUUAGGAGGAACACCGGUGGCGAAGGCGGCUUACUGGACGGUAACUGACGUUGAGGCUCGAAAGCGUGGGGAGCAAACA
rnacentral:rRNA from 1 species